rnacentral:rRNA from 1 species
CGGGACCGUACCCCAAACCGACACAGGUGGUCAGGGUGAGAAUCCCAAGGCGCUUGAGAGAACUCGGGUAAAGGAACUAGGCAAAAUGGUGCCGUAACUUCGGGAGAAGGCACGCCGGCGUGUACGUGAAGCCCCUGCGGGUGGAGCGGAAGCCGGUCGAAGAUACCAGGCCCCUGCGACUGUUUAUUAAAAACACAGCACUGUGCUAACACGAAAGUGGACGUAUACGGUGUGACGCCUGCCCGGUGCCGGAAGGUUAAUUGAUGGGGUUAGCGCUUGCGCGAAGCUCUUGAUCGAAGCCCCGGUAAACGGCGGCCGUAACUAUAACGGUCCUAAGGUAGCGAAAUUCCUUGUCGGGUAAGUUCCGACCUGCACGAAUGGCGUAACGAUGGGGGCGCUGUCUCUACCCGAGACUCAGUGAAAUUGAAAUCGCCGUGAAGAUGCGGUGUAUCCGCGGCUAGACGGAAAGACCCCGUGAACCUUUACUAUAGCUUCACAGUGAACUUUGAGCAUGCUUGUGUAGGAUAGCUGGGAGGCUUUGAAACCCGGACGCCAGUUCGGGUGGAGCCAACCUUGAAAUACCAGCCUGGCCUGUUUGAGGUUCUAACUUGGUCCCCUGAUCGGGGAUGAGGACACUGUGUGGUGGGUAGUUUGACUGGGGCGGUCUCCUCCCAAAGCGUAACGGAGGAGCACAAAGGUGGGCUAAGCACGGUCGGACAUCGUGCGGUUAGUGUAAUGGCACAAGCCCGCUUGACUGCGAGACAGACACGUCGAGCAGGUGCGAAAGCAGGUCAUAGUGAUCCGGUGGUUCUGUAUGGAAGGGCCAUCGCUCAACGGAUAAAAGGUACUCCGGGGAUAACAGGCUGAUACCGCCCAAGAGUUCACAUCGACGGCGGUGUUUGGCACCUCGAUGUCGGCUCAUCACAUCCUGGGGCUGAAGCCGGUCCCAAGGGUAUGGCUGUUCGCCAUUUAAAGUGGUACGCGAGCUGGGUUUAGAACGUCGUGAGACAGUUCGGUCCCUAUCUGCCGUGGACGUUGGAGAUUUGAGGAAAGCUGCUCCUAGUACGAGAGGACCGGAGUGGACGAACCUCUGGUGUUCGGGUUGUCACGCCAGUGGCAUUGCCCGGUAGCUAUGUUCGGACAGGAUAACCGCUGAAAGCAUCUAAGCGGGAAGCCCCUUCCAAGAUGAGAUCUCCCCGAGGCCUCGAGCCUCCUGAAGAGCCGUUCAAGACCAGGACGUUGAUAGGCCGGGUGUGUAAGCGCUGCGAGGCGUUGAGCUAACCGGUACUAAUUGCUCGUGCGGCUUGACUAU